UCGAGCACGAGUGUGAAAUACGACAUGACCUUGUUAUCUUUCGGCGCAGGUGCGAACUGUCGACCCUCGGAGGAGAUGGCGGCAGAUGAGCAACGGCAGCCGACACCCGCGCGCCCAGAGGGCACUUCAGAAGACGGCAAGGAUUCAACCAAGGAACAAGAAGAACUCCAGUGAGAGCACGCACCCCAUUUGGAUGGGAGCAAUUUUACAGAGGGGCAACGCCAACCCAAUUAAACAAAAAAAAAAAAGGAAACAAUAUUGUGUCUUGUCUUCUCGGCUUUGUAAAAGGGACACGGCAAUUUACCGACAACUUCAUUACAAGUUCCGGAAACCGUGUGAAGUUUGACUGGGGAAUUUUUGUAAAUAUUUUAAGUUGGACAUGUCAUUAUACACAUUUAGGCUAAUUAAGCUGUUCAUUUCUGGUAAGUAUACACAUUCUUGGGCUUAAGAUUCAAACCCGGAACCGUGCUCACCACUUAAUCACUGUGCUGUAAUUUUCCGAUUUCUAAUCCAUGUAAGGAGUUAAAAAAAAACAACAACAAAAAACAGAGUUAGAACUCAACUUUUAUUGAACAACUUAGACACAUCAUUGCUUCUUCAAUUUUAAUUUUUUUUUCCAUCCGUAUUGUGGCUCAGUGUGUUCAUAUGUAUUUAAAAAAAAAGAAAAAAAAUCUUUGGUACCUAAAGAGCAAAUGAAACACUUUAAGGCAACUAGAGCAUGUACAAGUGUGAAAUGCAUUUAAAGAUUACGGGCAGAAUGAUCAAAACGCAAAUUACCAGUGGAAUGCAACACAUCCGUCCUCAAAUCCACCACACAUUAUUCGAUUGCGGUAGAGAAGGGGGGG